rnacentral:rRNA from 1 species
GAUGAACGCUGGCGGCGUGCCUAAUACAUGCAAGUCGAGCGAACGGACGAGAAGCUUGCUUCUCUGAUGUUAGCGGCGGACGGGUGAGUAACACGUGGAUAACCUACCUAUAAGACUGGGAUAACUUCGGGAAACCGUAGCUAAUACCGGAUAAUAUUUUGAACCGCAUGGUUCAAAAGUGAAAGACGGUCUUGCUGUCACUUAUAGAUGGAUCCGCGCUGCAUUAGCUAGUUGGUAAGGUAACGGCUUACCAAGGCAACGAUGCAUAGCCGACCUGAGAGGGUGAUCGGCAACACGGGCACUGAGACACGGCCCACACUCCUACGGGGGACAGCAGUAGGAAAUUGGCCGCAAGGGGCGAAAGCCUGACGGAGCAACGCCGCGUGAGUGAUGAAGGUCUUCGGAUCGUAAAACUCUUUUAUUGGGGAAAAAAAUAUGUGUAAGUAACUGUGCACAUCGUGACGGUACCUAAACAGAAAGCCACGGCUAACUGCG